GCGGCGCAGUACUGUUUUUGAUGAUGAAAGUGGAGUCACGGCACGCUUAAUUUAGGUAUUUUGAUUAGUGCUCGACAGUUUCAUCUCAGGCAGACUUUACGACUUCAGGCGAUCGUCAGACAAGUGUUUUUGCCUGUGACAAGAUGGAUAUGUGGAUCCAUCAUGUUAGAAAUGCCGCGCUGGCUGCCUUGUUCGCAAUGCAGCCGCUUGAAGAUGGUUCUGUAUGCAAGAGAUCUACGAAAUUGCAAGCGUCUGCCGCCUAUCCAAGGAAGCAAUCAAGAUGCAUCACAGCCCCUGCAUGCUCAAUCUGCAAUGUUUCUAAUAAAUGAGGUCCAGCUUCA